rnacentral:rRNA from 1 species
UGAGGAAUAUUGCGCAAUGGGCGAAAGCCUGACGCAGCGACGCCGCGUGGAGGAUGAAGGUCUUUGGAUUGUAAACUUCUGUUAAGUGGGAAGAAAAAGUUACUUCUAAUACAAGUAAAAAAUGACGGUACCACUAAAGAAAGCACCGGCUAACUUCGUGCCAGCAGCCGCGGUAAUACGAAGGGUGCAAGCGUUAUUCGGAUUAAUUGGGCGUAAAGGGUGCGUAGAUGGUAUAUUAAGUCCGUUGUUAAAUUUCCCAGCUUAACUGGGAGCAAGCGGUGGAUACUGGUGUACUAGAGGGUGGAAGAGAGAAGUGGAAUUCCCGGAGUAGCGGUAAAAUGCGUAGAUCUCGGGAGGAACACCAAUGGCGAAGGCAGCUUCUUGGUCCACAUCUGACAUUGAGGCACGAAAGCGUGGGGAGCAAACAGG